CCGUUGCCGCGCGCGGCAGCGGUGAAAAAAAAAACCGCCAGCAGAUGUUAUCCUAUGGGACCUGACAUACUAGAGAAACCGACGCCGCGCGCGGUCGCGGUUGCCGCUGUCUGAUUUUUUUCUGCUGCAAAUGUUGGCGGGAAAAGCCGGUCGCGGUUUUCAGAGUCAACACAUGUUAAACUAUGGCUACUGACAUACUAUGCCGCGCGCGGCGGCGGGAAAACACUAAUCUUCUCUGGUAUAUAUAUAUUUCUACUAAUGUAAGUAUGUUGAAAAUCUCAAUGUAUCACUUCUAUUAUUUCCUUAUAUUUUCAUUGCCUCACUAUUAAUACAAAUCUCACCAAUAUGGGUAGAAGUGACUUUAAACUAACAAGAUAAUACUAUCAUUAAGUAAUAUUAUAAUUCCAAAGUUGGCAACCCUGCCUAUGAUGACUUUGAUCUGCAGUAGCUUUGAAGCAUUCAUCAGGUGCACUUUGUUUCUCGCUCACACUCCUGUUUGUUUUUCAGAAAUAAUAUACAGAUAUCAAUUGUGAACUUUUUGAAUAUGUCUGCGGAAGUGAUUAUUUCUAUGGUAGAGCAACAGCCUGCUAUCUGGGACAAGGGUUGUGAUCAGUAUAAAGAUAGAAUGGCAAAAGAUAAAGCCUGGAUAACUGUAGCUAAUGGCGUCUACGAAGAAUGGGGAUCCCUCAGCAAGGAAGAACAAACUAAGAAAAUGAACGAUAUUAAGCUCAAAUGGAAGAACAUGAGGGAUUCAAUGUUCAAAUCCCUUCAAACAAAGAGUGGAGACUGUGCCUCAAAGAAAAAAAAUACGUCCAUUUUGAAGCUCUGACGUUCCUUCGUACCAGCGCCGAAAAAAGAAGUACAAGUGGCAACUACGAAGAUGACAACAGGGCUGAUCCAGAUCCUGAUGAGUCCGCGAUUCUGGAUGAUGAAGACGAUUCAUUAAUGUCAACCUCGUCCAUCGACCUUCCUGAAAGCCGCCGAAAGGGGGUCUUCAAAAAACCAAGCCAGCCAUCAAAGAUAACCCCUUUUCAGGCAUCCCUCAUUAGCAGCCUGGACCAGGCAACAAAGACACUUCAGUCGCCAAAGAACGAUCCAGAAGAUGCAGACAAGUCGUACUUGAUGUCCCUACUCCCAGAUUACAAAAACCUAACUACAGCAAAAAAGUGGGAAUUUCGGACAUACGUAGCCAAUUUUUUCCAAAAUGUGUAUUUAACCUCUCCUCCGACAACCUCGCAACAAUUCUACUCACAAAACUAUUACCAACCUCAGUGGCGUGGAGGAGAUCAACAACAAUUUUGGUCAAAUACUAAUACUUCUUAUUCAGCAAGUUAAUCUCCGACAGGUUCUGUGGCGAGUCCUUGCAUCCCCUCACCCAAUCCAUAGUGAAUAAAAAAUGGUAAAAAAUUCAGUUCUAAUAAUUUUGGCUAUCAACAAAAGAUGUAUUACAUUUGCGUAUAAAAUGCAGCCAUUUCAGCUAACUUUUUUUUAUGUGAAGCAGGUCAAGGAAUUUCAAGUUUUGAAUUAUCAGUUUCUUGAAAUUUAUGAUGUAAAGAAUAAUUUUAUGUUGUUUUUAUUUGAUAGCAUAUCAAUUCAAUGAACCGAGUGGAUAAAAGCCUUUCUUUCUUAUGUCUGAUGUUACA